rnacentral:rRNA from 1 species
UACGUAGGUGGCAAGCGUUGUCCGGAUUUAUUGGGCGUAAAGGGAACGCAGGCGGUCUUUUAAGUCUGAUGUGAAAGCCUUCGGCUUAACCGGAGAUGUGCAUUGGAAACUGGAAGACUUGAGUGCGGCAGAGGGGGGUGGAACUCCAUGUGUAGCGGUGAAAUGCGUAGAUAUAUGGAAGAACACCAGUGGCGAAAGCGGUUCUCUGGUCUGUUACUGACGCUCAUGUUCGAAAGCGUGGGUAGCGAACAGG